GAUGAACGCUGGCGGCGUGCCUAAUACAUGCAAGUCGAGCGAACGGACGAGAAGCUUGCUUCUCUGAUGUUAGCGGCGGACGGGUGAGUAACACGUGGAUAACCUACCUAUAAGACUGGGAUAACUUCGGGAAACCGGAGCUAAUACCGGAUGAUAUUUUGAACCGCAUGGUUCAAAAGUGAAAGACGGUCUUGCUGUCACUUAUAGAUGGAUCCGCGCUGCAUUAGCUAGUUGGUAAGGUAACGGCUUACCAAGGCAACGAUGCAUAGCCGACCUGAGAGGGUGAUCGGCCACACGGGAACUGAGAAACGGUCCAGACGCCUACGGGAGGCAGCGUAGGGAAUCUUCCGCAAUGGGCGAAAGCCUGACGGAGCAACGCCGCGUGAGUGAUGAAGGUCUUCGGAUCGUAAAACUCUGUUAUUAGGGAAGAACAUAUGUGUAAGUAACUGUGCACAUCUUGACGGUACCUAAUCAGAAAGCCACGGCUAACUACGUG
rnacentral:rRNA from 1 species